CCUACGGGAGGCAGCAGUGGGGAAUAUUGGGCAAUGGAGGAAACUCUGACCCAGCAACGCCGCGUGAAUGAUGAAGGUCUUCGGAUUGUAAAGUUCUUUUCUAAGGGAAGAAGAAAGUGACGGUACCUUAGGAAUAAGACUCGGCUAACUACGUGCCAGCAGCCGCGGUAAUACGUAGGAGGCAAGCGUUAUCCGGAAUGACUGGGCGUAAAGGGUGAGUAGGUGGUUUGAAAAGUUGGUAGCGUAACUCCGGGGCUAAACCUCGGCACUACUACCAAAACUGUCGGACUUGAGUGCAGGAGGGGUAAAUGGAAUUCCUGGUGUAGCGGUGGAAUGCGUAGAUAUUAGGAGGAACACCAGUGGCGAAGGCGAGUUGCUGGACUGUAACUGACACUGAGGCACGAAAGCGUGGGUAGCAAACAGGAUUAGAUACCCUAGUAGUC
rnacentral:rRNA from 1 species